GGCUCUGUAGCUCAGCUGGUUAGAGCGCACCUCUCAUAAGGGUGAGGUCGGUGGUUCAAGUCUACCCAGAGCCA
rnacentral:tRNA from 1 species